UACGGAGGGGGCUAGCGUUGUUCGGAAUUACUGGGCGUAAAGCGCGCGUAGGCGGCUUUGUAAGUUAGAGGUGAAAGCCCAGGGCUCAACCCUGGAAUUGCCUUUAAGACUGCAUCGCUUGAACAUCGGAGAGGUAAGUGGAAUUCCGGAGUGUAGAGGUGAAAUUCGUAGAUAUUCGGAAGAACACCAGGUGGCGAAGGCGACUUACUGGACGAUUGUUGACGC
rnacentral:rRNA from 1 species